UAACCUGCCCUUAACUCUGGGAUAAGCCUGGGAAACUGGGUCUAAUACCGGAUAGGAGCGUCCACCGCAUGGUGGGUGUUGGAAAGAUUUAUCGGUUUUGGAUGGACUCGCGGCCUAUCAGCUUGUUGGUGAGGUAAUGGCUCACCAAGGCGACGACGGGUAGCCGGCCUGAGAGGGUGACCGGCCACACUGGGACUGAGACACGGCCCAGACUCCUACGGGAGGCAGCAGUGGGGAAUAUUGCACAAUGGGCGCAAGCCUGAUGCAGCGACGCCGCGUGAGGGAUGACGGCCUUCGGGUUGUAAACCUCUUUCAGUAGGGAAGAAGCGAAAGUGACGGUACCUGCAGAAGAAGCACCGGCUAACUACGUGCCAGCAGCCGCGGUAAUACGUAGGGUGCGAGCGUUAUCCGGAAUUAUUGGGCGUAAAGAGCUCGUAGGCGGUUUGUCGCGUCUGUCGUGAAAGUCCGGGGCUUAACCCCGGAUCUGCGGUGGGUACGGGCAGACUAGAGUGCAGUAGGGGAGACUGGAAUUCCUGGUGUAGCGGUGGAAUGCGCAGAUAUCAGGAGGAACACCGAUGGCGAAGGCAGGUCUCUGGGCUGUAACUGACGCUGAGGAGCGAAAGCAUGGGGAGCGAACAGGAUUAGAUACCCUGGUAGUCCAUGCCGUAAACGUUGGGCACUAGGUGUGGGGACCAUUCCACGGUUUCCGCGCCGCAGCUAACGCAUUAAGUGCCCCGCCUGGGGAGUACGGCCGCAAGGCUAAAACUCAAAGGAAUUGACGGGGGCCCGCACAAGCGGCGGAGCAUGCGGAUUAAUUCGAUGCAACGCGAAGAACCUUACCAAGGCUUGACAUGUUCUCGAUCGCCGUAGAGAUACGGUUUCCCCUUUGGGGCGGGUUCACAGGUGGUGCAUGGUUGUCGUCAGCUCGUGUCGUGAGAUGUUGGGUUAAGUCCCGCAACGAGCGCAACCCUCGUUCCAUGUUGCCAGCACGUAGUGGUGGGGACUCAUGGGAGACUGCCGGGGUCAACUCGGAGGAAGGUGAGGACGACGUCAAAUCAUCAUGCCCCUUAUGUCUUGGGCUUCACGCAUGCUACAAUGGCCGGUACAAUGGGUUGCGAUACUGUGAGGUGGAGCUAAUCCCAAAAAGCCGGUCUCAGUUCGGAUUGGGGUCUGCAACUCGACCCCAUGAAGUCGGAGUCGCUAGUAAUCGCAGAUCAGCAACGCUGCGGUGAAUACGUUCCCGGGCCUUGUACACACCGCCCGUCAAGUCACGAAAGUCGGUAACACCCGAAGCCGG
rnacentral:rRNA from 1 species